UAAAUACUCCCUCCGUCCGAAAAUACUUGUCAUCAAAAUGGAUAAAAAGAGAUGUAUCUAAAACUAAAAGACGUCUAGAUACAUUUCCUUUUAUCCAUUUUGAUGACAAGUAUUUCCGGACGGAGGGAGUAUUUG
rfam:Triticum aestivum genome assembly, contig: Triticum_aestivum_CS42_TGACv1_scaffold_146088_2BS